UCCAGGGAGAACUUAUUGCUGACUUUCAGUAUUUAAAAGGGGCUGAUAAGAAAGAUGUGGACAGACUUUUCAGCAGGGCCUGUUGUGAUAGGACAAGGGGUGAUGGCUGGACAUAAGGAAAAGGUUUUUUUUUCUUUUAUGACAAGGGUGGUAAAACACUGUCCCAGGUUGGCCAGAGAGGUGGUAGAUUCCCCAUCCCUGGAGACAUCCCAGGCCAGGCUGGAUGGGGCUCUGAGCAACCUGAGCUGGUGAAGAUGUCCCUGCUCAUGACAUGGGUGGCACUGGAUGAGUUUCCAAUGUCCCUUCCAACCCAAACUAUUCUGCGAUUCUGUAAUUCUAUGAAAUCUCAAAGGAGAUCAGAGGGAAAGAAUAGCGAAGUAUCUGAAACAGAUUGUGACACAACCCCGAAGAGUGCAUUGGAAUGCACAAUUAACUGGUAACACUAUGGUAAAGGCUGUGAUGCCUGUCAAAACCCACUGUGUUAAACUUUGAACAAACAGAAUUCCAUUUGUACAUUUUAAAAAGAUACAGCACAGCCAGGAGCAAUGCAGAGACUUUAUUCCUGUUGAUAACAGAAAUUAAUUGCAUUUUCUAGUUUCACACAACAAAUCUGUUGCAAAACAAGAAUUUUGUUUUUCUAAAGCUCAGUUAACAACCCAUCCAUAAAAUGUGUGUGGCAAAUGCACUUCCCACCUCUUUGCACCUACCAGAAACUCCUAGGCUCAUUGAUCGCUAUGGUCAUGCACACACCCCCUUGGUUGAUAGACAGGUCUUUUAAUCAAUGACAUGCCUCAAUUGAGAGAAGUUUCUAGAGAACUACCAUAAAUGACCACAGCUCAGAUUCAACUGGGUAUGAAUGAGCCCCAUUGGAGACCUACAUUGAGUUGGUCUUCCUUGGAGCUGUAGUUGAAGACACUCCUUGAACUGGUGAUUUAAGGAAUAUCCUCAGGAGUUGAGAUAAUUUUUUGACCCUGUAAGUGAUCUGGGUACCCUUUAGAGUUCUCACUUUGACAUAGAAUGGGAAGAUGUGCAUUUUGAAUCAUCAGUUUAGAGUUUGAGGAUCUGAUUGUGCUGAGUUUGAGUGGUUUGUGUAGCAAUUGAUCUCCUAACUGGUAUCUGAACCUGUGUUUUGUCAUGUGGGAGUGCGGAAUCAUUUUAGGUAAACCCUGUUUGUAGUUGGUUUUCUGCUAAACAGUUCUGGUUAGAAUAAAGUGUAUUUGGAGCUUGUUGCCUGCCUAACUUGACUUUUUGGGGUGCCUCUGCUGAAUGACUAAUUAAUGUUUUUUGGGAUUUCCAAAUGAGAUUAUAUUAAAGCACUGUUCAAAAAGAUGAAAUUACUGGCUAUUUAUGUAAAACUGAGGAUGCUGAGACCUACCUUCAUUUUGUUCAAAUGUUGAGAGCUUAGUCUAAGGUAAUACUGAGAAUUCCCCAUGGAAAAAAAUCGAUGGAGAUGGGUGACUCAGGGACAUGCACCCAUCCUAAGUGUACAUGAUAGGUCAACAGAUGUGAGUGUGUGAAAAAUGUCCAAUAGAAGUGACACAUUCCUUUUAAGAUACUUCUAAAUCCCACCUAAUAUCAGAAACUGAACUUGGACUCUGAAACUGCAUCACCCACACUGAAAAUAUGCCAUUUAGCCCAGUUGAGGUAAUGCUGUAACCUGUACAUAUACUGACACGUUGAUUAAACAAUACUAAUUUGUGUGGUAGUAUAAUUGAAUGGAAGUUCCAUUGAUUUCAAAGAACUCUGCAUAAUCUACUGCUCAGAAUUAAUUACAUAUGUUCCCUCAGACUCUCACCAUCCAGUGGAGAAAAUCUGAAAAAGCUUGUAAUUACAGAUCUUAGUCUUUAGAACUGUAAAUCUUAAAUUCUGCAGGAUAUUUUGUUGAUUCCUAUUGGCCAGCCAAGAGUGUUAAACACAUAUAAAAGAGAAAAUCCUUUUGGAGUAAAAACUGGAAGCCAUGUCUAGGCAGGCAGAUGAAGAAUCCAACAGAAAUUAUUGUGUUAGUCUGAGGGUGAAGUCUUAUGCUUUACUGUCCAGGUGUUUUAUUAAAUUUACAGCAACAGGUGUUGUCCAGCUCUUGAAUAGGUCUUAUCCCAGUUGUUUGUAUUGUCGCAUUCUCUUUAUACAGUGGUCAUGAACACAGAAUUUACUUCAAUAAAGUUUUGUAGCUACAGAUCAUCCUUUCAGUCUUAUGCUUGGUCAAGAUUUAAUUACUCCUACACUUCUGUGGGAAGGAAGGAAGAUUUUGAUCCCUUUUGAAUUACCAAGUGUCAUAAUUUUAGUGACCAGUUCCUAAAAUACUGGUUUAUCUAAUCUCAGCAUUUGUAUACAGCAUUAAAGUACAGAUCAUUCUAUCGAUUCACUCUUCUGUUGAAGAUUAAAAACUCGUUAGCAACUGAAAGUCAGAAAUACAUAGCUUAUGUACUAUUUUUUGUUACUAUCAAAGAAAUUCUUAUAUCAAUAAAUAUUUCAUGAGAGGUACUUAGGACUAAAUUCCCCUAUUUGCAAAAAAUAACUUUGAGGACUUAGUGGCAAAAAUAAGAAUAUAAGGAAAGUUUCUUCACUGAUAAUUUGAUACCUCUUGACUUCACGUGAAAAGAGAGCUCAGAUAAGAGUGAGUCCUGUGUGUGUCUGCAGCUAUUUUGGACUAAAAGUCAGGUAAAGGUCAGAAAAUAAUAGCAGCAUAAGUGGCAACAUACUUGUGAAGAAAAUUUGGGACACAGGGGAGAUACGAUGUGUCAACUAAAUGUUUUCUGAAAAAAAUCAGCUCCUUGCCCAAUGAGUGAAUCCCUUCUAGAGAGAAUAAGUUAUUGUGUAACAAAGCUUGUGAAGCAGAAAUGUGCUCCACCUGUAUUAUGAUGGCAUCUUAAGGAUUCUUCAAAACUACCAUGGAAGAAUUAAUAAUUUUCAUUCAUUUCAAGUUAGAUUCUAUAUUUUUAGAUAUAGCUCUACCUAUCUGAAUACACAUGCACACAUGUGAGAAGUGUGUGUAUAUAUAUAUAUAUAUAUCCAUACACAGACACAUUAUGUCAGAGAACGUCCUGAGUUGGAAAUGACCCACGAGGAUCAUCGAGUCCAACUCCUGUCCCUGCACAGGACAACUGGAUGUGUGAUUGUGUGUGUAUAUAUGUAUAAAAAGAUAUAGGUAAUAUAUUUUUAUUAUUUACUGAUAAAAAUAUCUUGGAUAAUAAAUAUGUAAUAGCUUUUCCUGUAUAUAAUCUUAUUUUCAAUAGAUAAUCCCAUUUAUGCUCAUUCUCUUUAUGAAACAGAAUUCCAGCCAUAACACCGUAACAUCCCAUGGUUUGUAGCUCAAGCAAAUUGCAGUUAAGUACUUUUUCAUUAGCGUUUGCAUAUGAAACAAAUAUUUAAAAUGUUGUUUGUGUGGUUUUUUGUGUGUUGGUUAAGGUUAGGGUUGGUUUGUUUGUUUUUGGAGAAGAGUAAGAAAGCAUAUACUAUGCAUUUUUUUCCCUUCAAGAACACAGAUGUGGAACUAAUAGUUAUGUUUCAUGAAUAUCUUUAAAGCCAACAAAAUUAAGUUUUUGGAAAUUACUUUUGGAAUGGCUCUUGAGUUAUGACAGACUCUUUCUGAAAGCUCUGGCAGACAGCCUCACACAUUUUCUUUUUAAGAUGGUUUAUGAUUAGAGCUCUGUGCGUAAAUCAAGGAAAAACGGUGACAAUUUUCUUGGGCUAGAGACAGUGAAUAUAAUCAAGGUUCUCUGUGGUCUGCCAACGUAAAUAUGUAGGUAAGAAAACUAUUAAACUGCACAUUUUCACUAUUAACAGUGAUUUGACAUUUUCAAGCAAUAAAAGGUAAAUGAAAACAGAAAUGUGUGGUGUACUUCACCAUAAGUCACAAAAUAACAAUGAAAGUUUUUCAGGUUUCCUGUCUGAUGUUUUUAUAAUAAUAUUCAGCUACUACCUAGAGUGCUUUUCAUCAGUAAACUUCAAAGUAUUUUUCAAAGCAGGUAAUCUUUAGAAAGGUUUGGGAAAAUUCCAGCUAAAACAUGUUUUCAUCAGGUUUUGCAUAAGAAAGAAAAAUAAACCAAUUUGAUUUCCACCAGUUUUCCCAGACAUCAGGCAUGUGUUUUCACAGAAAGUACAAACCCUAUCUCAGUUUUAUACAUUGUGAUGCUUUGUGUUGGCACGGGUACAAUUGCCUGAAAUGUUGUUUGAAAAGGAAUUUGCAAUUUCUUUAUUACUUCUUUUAAAUUGCUGUUCAUCCAGCAAAAUUACAUGGAAAUAACUUGUAUUUGAAGCUAUUGAUAUAUGGUUGUAAUUGUAGGCUUUAAAUAUAUAAAUAUUCCCUGUCUGCGGAUCACAGUGAUUAAUGUAGGGAAAGAUAAGAGGAAUGUGUCCAGGUUACAAAACUGCCUGGAGAGGAUAAAGUAAGUUCACUAUCCUGUCCCAGGGGUAAGAGGGGAAUAAACCUUUUAGAAGUAAACUAUUGAAAUGGUAAAAUCACCGCAGUGUUUAGAUGCUCAUGUAUGUCCCAAAGCAUGGACUGCUCUAGUGGCAGGGUUAUCCUGCAGUUUGUGAAAUAUUGUUUCUUUAUUUAAAGUCAGAAUAUUUUGUUAUUCCAUGCCAGGGAGCUGAAAGGUGAAAAGACCAAACUAAAGCCAUUCACUAAGGUCCUGCCAGAAGCUUUUUCACUGACCAAUGUGAUUGCUGAAGAGGAUUAUUAUCAAGCAAGGAGAAGGAACAAAAAAAAUGCCUCUAUAAGAGAAAGGUUUUCAAUGCAUAAAAGAGAUUUUUGUGUGUGAUUUGGAUGCAGACUACAGUGUUUGAUGACCCCAGAGAUGUCCUCUCCUCCUAAGAUAUAUGACACUGUCUCUUAGACUUGUCCUGAUGGAGUAAAGGACUAUAUUUCUGCAGAGCUCUUGCACUGCAGAGAGGAGAUGUAUUAACGGUGGUGGCUUCAGUGCUGACCAUGUGCAGCAAAUAGGAACUGAACUGAAAUCUCCAUAUUCAUUUCACAAAGGUCAGUGAACAGAUAUUGUUGCAAUACAUCUUUGAAGCCUGAGGGAUCUGAUUCAAUGUUUUAUCAUUUUAACUUUAUGUCAGUUUAACUUCUCCGAAAUCAGGCCGACGCUGAAAUCAGUGGAGUUAGAAAUGGCAUAAAGCUGGAAAAAAGUAGGGCCCACAGGUAUUGUCCCCUUAUCAGUCAUACAGAUAGUGAUUUAAAGCUGAUAACGGUCCUGGCCUGAAAGCGCUGCAGUAAAAUGGUCUAAGUGUUGGGAUGAUAUACCAUACUCUCCUCCAGUUUGUGAACACUGUGUUCUGAAGUUUGUGCACUACUGUUAACAAUUGCAGUAAAUCUGGAUCCAUGAAGGAAAUGAGGCAGAGAGGCUCUUCAUGGAGAUGGACUGUGAUGGUCCUGGGUGGUGAAGGAGUUUGGCUGGCAGCAGAGGAUAAAUACAAGACACAGGUUAAUGAAACCGAAUGAGGAAACUGUGGAAAUAAGCCAGAGAGAAGAAACAAUUGUUGAACCUGGUGGUCAUGACCUCAAAAACACUGUGUCCCCUCAUCUCUGGAAAAAAUGAAGGUUCAGCAAGAGGAAAUUGUCACAAAUGCAGGGUCACGAUGGAGAAGCAAA